rnacentral:rRNA from 1 species
CUGAUGGAGGGGGAUAACUACUGGAAACGGUAGCUAAUACCGCAUAACGUCGCAAGACCAAAGAGGGGGACCUUCGGGCCUCUUGCCAUCGGAUGUGCCCAGAUGGGAUUAGCUUGUUGGUGGGGUAACGGCUCACCAAGGCGACGAUCCCUAGCUGGUCUGAGAGGAUGACCAGCCACACUGGAACUGAGACACGGUCCAGACUCCUACGGGAGGCAGCAGUGGGGAAUAUUGCACAAUGGGCGCAAGCCUGAUGCAGCCAUGCCGCGUGUAUGAAGAAGGCCUUCGGGUUGUAAAGUACUUUCAGCGGGGAGGAAGGGAGUAAAGUUAAUACCUUUACUCAUUGACGUUACCCGCAGAAGAAGCACCGGCUAACUCCGUGCCAGCAGCCGCGGUAAUACGGAGGGUGCAAGCGUUAAUCGGAAUUACUGGGCGUAAAGCGCACGCAGGCGGUUUGUUAAGUCAGAUGUGAAAUCCCCGGGCUCA